GGUGAACGCUGGCGGUAGGCCUAACACAUGCAAGUCGAACGGCAGCACAGUAAGAGCUUGCUCUUACGGGUGGCGAGUGGCGGACGGGUGAGGAAUACAUCGGAAUCUACUUUUUCGUGGGGGAUAACGUAGGGAAACUUACGCUAAUACCGCAUACGACCUACGGGUGAAAGCAGGGGAUCUUCGGACCUUGCGCGAUUGAAUGAGCCGAUGUCGGAUUAGCUAGUUGGCGGGGUAAAGGCCCACCAAGGCGACGAUCCGUAGCUGGUCUGAGAGGAAGAUCAGCCACACUGGAACUGAGACACGGUCCAGACUCCUACGGGAGGCAGCAGUGGGGAAUAUUGGACAAUGGGCGCAAGCCUGAUCCAGCCAUACCGCGUGGGUGAAGAAGGCCUUCGGGUUGUAAAGCCCUUUUGUUGGGAAAGAAAAGCAGCAGGUUAAUACCCCGCUGUUCUGACGGUACCCAAAGAAUAAGCACCGGCUAACUUCGUG
rnacentral:rRNA from 1 species